GGGGGCGACCUGGUUUCGACGUGGGUUGCAAAGCAGAGUGGGGCAUACCGAGGACCAGUACCUUGUAAAAAGCUGGAAAACUUUAAACGCAAACGACGAACGUUUCGCUUUAGCCGCUUAAUCGGCUAAACUCCACGCCGGCAGUCCAUGGGCCGGGCCUGAUUCUGGGCAGUGGAGUCAUUUACAUGGAAUCGCAACAUGCAGGGUCGCUUUGCAUGACGCUAAAAAAUAGGCGACUCGCCUGAAGCAAGCCUGUUCGGCUGGCGUGCCAGGGUUAAAUCAAACAACCGGACUAAGUAUGUAGAACUGCCUGUAGAGGGCUUGCGGACGCGGGUUCGAUUCCCGCCGCCUCCACCA
rnacentral:tmRNA from 1 species